AGAAAUUGCAAAUGUGAAUCACCUGUAGGAGAGGAAGGAGUUGAGCUGGAAGUAUAAUGCCUUGGUAAACAUCCGAAAACUGUGUUAUGAUACAAAGGAGUCUCAUCCUAGCUAGAUUUUAAAUGAAUCAAUUCCGGUCUUCCAAAAUCCAGAGUUAUCAGGAAAGGGUUCAGAGCUGGUUGCAGAGAAGACAAAAAUAAUCUCUGAGGCAUUGGAACAGAAGUAAAAGAGACCAGAUUUAAUAUCCUUUGGAUAUGCUCAUGCACGACACAUCACAGAGAAAUGUGAUGAAGGAAGGAUGAGGGAUCAUUACUGAGUGACAUGGGUAAUGACCUACAAUGGGAGAUUAUGGUACUUUAAUGUUAAACAUGCUGUUGUUCAUCAAACGCUAGCGUAGAAUAACUUCCUUUCAAAGAGCCAAACAUUGAAGUUCCGGAUGGCAGCUGCAGGAGGCAGAUCUAGAAGCUGUGACACAGGCUGACUAGCUGUCUUUGGGCACCUCAAUUUGCCAUAAAGCCGAAUGAGGCAGUAGAGGAAAACAGCUUGAGAUUUGUCUCACCAACUGCAGUCUCCACUUCAAGGAGCUGAAUGAUUUGCUGAGGAUAUUAAUUUCAAAAGCCAGACAGCAAGAGAUCAGCUGAGAUGAAAGAUCACUGCAAAGUGACCUCAGACCAGGGGAAAAGAAAAGGAGAAGAGGAGGAUGUGAUUCAGAACAGGAAUUCGGUGCUGUACAGUCUAGCAGUGAACCACAUCAGAUGCUUUCUGACACCAAAGGUGAUCUUCAUGUGACUAUGGUCACGGUCUGUGGAGAGAACGGGAACAUAAUUCACCUGGCUUAUUUUAGAUAUCAACAGUGGGAUGUGGUAAAUUAAUACCCUAGACUCACUGGUUUAUAAAACUUGGGUAUAAUUUCUGCAGUUACAUGCUUCACUCCCAGGGUCCACAGGGUUGGUGAAGGGUAGGUACGUACAAAUCUAAAAUGAGCCACCACCUGCCUUAUCUGUAUGUAGUCAUGAGCUUAUUUGAUCACUACACCUGUGACAUUAGACUUCAUGACCAGGGAAAUUGUAGCUAAGUAGAGACAGUGUAUAAUGAGAGCAAGUUGAUCAGGACCUUUGUUAACAACAAACAUAGUAAACUUAAUUUCUUUGAUCUUUAAAACAAUUUUCACAGUCUUGAGAUGUUAAUAAGGAUUUAAAAGCUUUUCUCCAUAAAAUGUUUACUGUUGAAAUCAGAACUGAAUUUGUGUAGUUAAACUGUUAUGCAUCCCUGAAUAGAUAAAUUAAAAGUAGUUUAAUCCUACUGUACUUCGGCUUUAGCUUAGUUUGGCAAUCUAGCAGUGCGAGUAAUACUGCUUUCACUUAGGGAUUGUCACUGCUUCACUUUAAUAAAUUAACUAACAAGACAUAAACUAAGUGAAUCUGAGGGGCUCUGAGAGCCAUGGGCUAGAUCUUCCCCAGAGAACCAAAACCAGUGGUAGGUGGGUGCCAGUUCUCAGUGUAACACAGAAUUAAUGAAGAGGUUGUCAUGAAGCUUGUUUGGGUGGAAUAUUCCUUCAGUCUGAUUAUCUGUGCUUAUCUAUGCAGUGAACAUUUUGGAAAUGGAUCUUUUGUCUCAACCACCAUGGUGCUGAUAUACUUCCAACAAAGCCAACUUGGACAAGAGAUUUAGCUUUUUGACAGAUAAUAUAGGAGAAAGGAUCAUCUUGGUCACUGAUUAAAGUUCUAUCCUUUUAUGACACCAUUAACUGCAUCAGUACUCCAAUAUCUGCAAUACAGGCACCAUCUGCGGGCCUGUUGGUGAGAAGGUAUGAUAAGCAAUUUCUGGCCAUCAGGAAUCUUUUCUUUUUCCUUCUAACACACACCCUUGGAAAUGAGGCACGAUUUUGCUGUUCAGAGAGAAGGAUGCCUUUGUAAGGAUCUUUUAAUUUCCGUGUAGUGAUACUAGUAAGCAGUCUCUUGAUUUCUCUGUGGGCAAACACUUCGUCCCAUGUUAUUCCCUCUUUAAAAUGGGAAAAGUGAUGUUUGAUGCUCUCCCAGUAAUGCCACAGGGGUAAAUACACUACAUCUUGAGAUUCAUUUUUGUUCUACGUGAUGAAAUCUAUGUAUGAACUGCAGAUAGAUGGCUUUCUUUCUCUCUUAAAACUUCAUUUAUUGCUUCUGUUUCACAGCUUGAUGUGUGUUUCGUUGGACCAUGAUAUAAAGCACAACUGAAUGGUUUAGAUGUAUAGUGCCAUGAUUAUGAAACUUGAAUUACAAAGACAGAAAACAAAUCAGAAGAACAAGGAGAGAAUUAAACACUUUUGAUCAGCCUUUCUCCUGCACUUACUAUUUAAUUUAAACCAGAGCUGUUUCUUCUUGUAGUAGUCAUUCAUCUUCAAGAAGUGAAAAUACACUUGCAAAACUAAUAAAUGUGAAUCUAUUUGCAAAGAUAUGUAUUUAUGCGCCUGGCACUUCAGGGUGUUUAGAGGGUAAUCUCAAACUGUGAGCACUGCACUCUGUAAAUUUUGAAGCGAUUUUUCUAAAUGUCAAGUAUUUAUUACAUGAAAAAAACAUUUGGAGUGUGGAGCAGGUCCCUGGUGAUAUACGCUGCAUUUGGGGUAAGGCUUCUUGGAUGAACGGAAACAAUAUUUGAGUGCUGAAAAGCAAGUCCUCCACUUGAAAUUUCUUUGUGUACACGGAAAGGAAACUGAACAAAGCUGGAAAGCCAGCCAAGUAUUUUGUUUUGUCUCUUGCAUAAACUUAAUAUAAAAUAGUGAUUUUCCAAGC
ensembl:lncRNA